CCAGGAAGUGAACAAGAGCCGUUUGACAGAUACGAUGUUUACUGUAGUUUAACACCGUUAACUGUAGUUUAACACCGCAAACUGGAGCGCCAUUAGUUGUUAGACCAACUGUCGCUAACACGGGAGCGAUAAUGCAGAAUCUGCGGAAACGUCGAAGCAACGAUACGACAACUCAAAGCACUCCUGGCCCUUUGAAGGUAAAUGUGCCCCGGCAGAAGAGGUCGCGUUUCCACUGUGACCUGUGGUUCUGUCUGACUCUGCAGAACUGGAUACUGGACUUUGGAAGACCUAUCGUCAUGAUAACCCUUCCUCUGGAGUGGUUUCCCCUGAACAAGCCAGUGCUGGAGACUAUUUUCCACAUGGCCUACAACGUCAUAACACCGUUCCUCAUGCUCAAGCUGAUUGAGCGCAGCCCCAGGGAGCUGCCUCGUUCGGCGGUCUACCUCUGCAUCAUCACGUUCGUGAUGGGAGCCAGCAUCCACCUGGUGGGAGACUCCAUCAACCAUCGGCUCAUCCUGAGUGGCUACCAGCUCCACCUGUCAGUCAGAGAGAACCCCAUCAUCAAAGACCUCAAACCUGCCUCACUGAUCGACUCCUUCGAGCUGCUGUAUUAUUACGACGAACACCUGGGACACCUGAUGUGCCCCGCCAGGUUUGCGUCAUCCCUUCACAAAGAAAUACUUGAAGCUGACCGGUACCAGUCGACAAUACCGUUUCUGCCUCUUGUGUUGUUGAAGGUAUAUUCCGUUCUUCGCCAUUCUGUUCCUCUACUUCACCGGCUGCUUCACCAAGGCCGAGGAGGAGAAGAGGCUGCCUGUCUCCGGCCGCCUGUUGCUGGGACCCAGCGCUCUCUACUAUUGGUACCUGGUCACCGAAGGACAAAUCACUGAACUCUUCCUCCUCACCUUCCUCGCCAUGGUUGUCAUGGUGAUUCAUCAACACCGUAAAGGCCUCAGUCCAGACAGCAAUGGCCUGUUCCUGUUCUGCAGUUUCAGCGUCACCGUGCUCCUGGUUGCACUGUGGGUGGUUUAUCUGUGGAACGAUCCGGUGUUGCGCAACAAGUACCCCGGACUCAUUUAUGUGCCGGAGCCUUGGUCCUACUACACCUUACACAUCAAGCAGAACCACUGAGUCGCUCCAGGUCACUCCAGCAGACUUCCCGUGACGGAGGUAGCGGCUGCACUCGGACGACGAUGACGAUCCGUGAAGGCUGUCGAUGGCGUUGAAGGUUCUGCUGCCUUCAGCCGUACGUUCAGGAGAAGAUUUUGUCUCCUCGGUUUCGUUCUAUAUCGCGAGGGAGACUUUGAACAGGUUGGAGUUGUUUAUGUUCGGUCUGAAUUUGGACAUUCGGUCAGAUCUGUAAAAACUGUUUGGAAUCUCGUGACAUCUGAGACUAAGAGAGAUCCAUUUAAGGACGAGCACCAUGUGUAAUGUCAACAGAUACUUUAUAUGGGGCCCGAAACGAGAAAGGGGGCCUCAACGUUGGGUAAAAAUGCAGCAGCCAAUUUAGGGCCAUUUUAAUGUGUCAGUUUACAUUUUGCUAUAGUUAUGCAUAUUAAAAAUAUAAACUUUAAUUCAUAAAAUGACCUCAAAAUAAACUUCACUGAGUCUUUCGGGGCCCUGAGGGUUUGGGAUCCAGGUACAACCUAAAUUGUCAAUGAAAGAAGUAAUUACUUCUGAGAUACAAAUGAAAUCAUUUCUUUAUGAACUGAAUUUAACUGAUACGUUGUUACUUUGAUUAGUUUAGUUAUAUUUAUAUAUAUAGUUAUAUUUCUCAAUGUCAAAUUGUAAUUGUUACUGUUUUUUUGUACAGUAUUGUUCCUUUGCUUAAGAUCACUUUGUUGUUGGUAAAAUACUGUUUCCUCAUUAAAUGUAUGUUAUCUUAAUUAAAACGUUG